rnacentral:rRNA from 1 species
GGCGGGCCUAUCAUGCAAGUCGAGCGCUUCUUUUUCACCGGAGCUUGCUCCACCGGAAAAAGAGGAGUGGCGAACGGGUGAGUAACACGUGGGUAACCUGCCCAUCAGACGGGGAUAACACUUGGAAACAGGUGCUAAUACCGUAUAACAAUCGAAACCGCAUGGUUUUGAUUUGAAAGGCGCUUUCGGGUGUCGCUGAUGGAUGGACCCGCGGUGCAUUGACUAGUUGGUGAGGUAACGGCUCACCAAGGCCACGAUGCAUAGCCGACCUGAGAGGGUGAUCGGCCACAUUGGGACUGAGACACGGCCCAGACUCCUACGGGAGGCAGCUUUAGGGAAUCUUCGGCAAUGGACGAGAGUCUGACCGAGCAGCGCCGCGUGAGUGAAGAAGGUUUUCGGAUCGUAAAACUCUGUUGAUAGAGAAGAACAAGGAUGAGAGUAACUGUUCGUCCCUUGACGGUAUCUAACCAGAAAGCCACGGCUAACUACGUGCGAGCAUCCGUGGUAAUACAUAUGUGGCAAGAGUUGUCCGGAUUUUUUGGGCGUAAAGCGAGUGCUUGGCGUUUUUCUUAAAUCUGAUGUGAAACCCCCCCGGCUCAGCCGGGGAGGGUCAUUGAAAAUUGGGUAGACUUGAGGGCAGAAAAGGACAGUGGACUUCCCAUGUGUGCGGAGAAAUGGGUAGAUAUACGGAGGAAACACCGGGGGCCAGGGCGGUUCUCUGGUCUGUAACUGACGCCGACGCUCCGA